rnacentral:siRNA from 1 species
CCUGUUCAGAUGAUGCUUGCCG